UGGCUCAGAUGGUAAAAGCGUCUGCCUGCAAUGCAGGAGACCCGGGUUCGAUCCCUGG
rnacentral:tRNA from 1 species